AUACGUAGGGGGCGAGCGUUGUCCGGAAUGAUUGGGCGUAAAGGGCGCGUAGGCGGCUUUGCAAGUCAGUAGUGGAAGUCCAUUUUUCAAGGAUGGAAGUGCUACAGAAACUGCGGAGCUUGAGUGCAGGAGAGGUUAUCGGAAUUCCCGGUGUAGCGGUGAAAUGCGUAGAGAUCGGGAGGAACACCAGUGGCGAAGGCGGGUAACUGGACUGCAACUGACGCUGAGGCGCGAAAGUGUGGGGAGCAAACAGGUUUAGAUACCCUGGUAGUCCACACUGUAAACGAUGAAUGCUAGGUGUAGGAGGUAUCGACCCCUUCUGUGCCGCAGUAAACACAGUAAGCAUUCCGCCUGGGGAGUACGGUCGCAAGAUUAAAACUUAAAGGAAUUGACGGGG
rnacentral:rRNA from 1 species